UACGGAGGGUGCAAGCGUUAUCCGGAUUUAUUGGGUUUAAAGGGUCCGUAGGCGGGAUUUUAAGUCAGUGGUGAAAGCCUGCAGCUCAACUGUAGAACUGCCAUUGAUACUGGAAUCCUUGAGUGUAACUGGAGUAGGCGGAAUAUGUCAUGUAGCGGUGAAAUGCUUAGAUAUGACAUAGAACACCGAUCGUGAAGACGGCUUACUAAGUUAUAACUGACGCUGAGGGACGAAAGCGUGGGGAGCGAACAGG
rnacentral:rRNA from 1 species